rnacentral:rRNA from 1 species
UACAGAGGUCCCAAGCGUUGUUCGGAUUCACUGGGCGUAAAGGGUGCGUAGGCGGUUCUGAAAGUCUGAUGUGAAAUCUCCAGGCCCAACCUGGAAACGGCAUUAGAAACUACAGGGCUAGAGGCUUGGAGGGGGAACUGGAAUGCUCGGUGUAGCAGUGAAAUGCGUAGAGAUCGAGCGGAACACCAGUGGCGAAGGCGAGUUCCUGGACAAGUCCUGACGCUGAGGCACGAAAGCCAGGGGAGCAAACAGG